rnacentral:rRNA from 1 species
UACGGAGGGUGCAAGCGUUAUCCGGAUUUACUAGGUUUAAAGGGUGCGUAGGUGGGUCUGUAAGUCAGUGGUGAAAUCUCCGGGCUUAACCCGGAAACUGCCAUUGAUACUAUAGGUCUUGAAUAUCCUGGAGGUGAGCGGAAUAUGUCAUGUAGCGGUGAAAUGCUUAGAUAUGACAUAGAACACCAAUUGCGAAGGCAGCUCACUACGGGAUUAUUGACACUGAGGCACGAAAGCGUGGGGAUCAAACAGG